UGGACCUAAUAGUUUGCCAUGAUAAAAGCACACACACACACACAUACAUACACAAACUCACAUAUGUUCAGCUUUGCUUAUACUCCCAUUUGUUUUUUGUCUUCGCAGUUUAUAAUAGCUACUCACUGGUUUCCAUUCCAGUUUCCCGAAUCAUGGUAAAUUAAUUGGAUUUCUGUUUGUAUAUAAGGGCGAUCUCUAGGCUUUUCAGUUUGGAGUCCUUCUUCAGGCCAGAUGAGGCCAGCGACGAUGCAUGCUCUUUGAGGUCCAGCAGAGAAGUCUGAAACCAAACUUAGCAUUGAGGUCUCGGGUAUACAGCCAACAAACACCCGUUUCGAGGUUGUUCACCUUACGUGUCUUCAUGAGCAGAUUUCUUUUUUUAAAUUUCUCCAAAGUAUUUUAUUAUACAUGUUAGAAAAAAAAAAUGGAAUAUACAACAAAUCAUUUUCUUAAUCAGUAUUUUGUCUCUUGUUCCAGUAAAAACAAAAAAUCUAAAUAACCUUAAGAGAAUUUAGCAUGUUUAGUAUUGUUACCUAAAACCAUUAAAAUAAUUUUGUCAGUUGAAAUAUUUAAAUCUAAAAAAUAUAAAACAUAACAUAAAGCACAUAAAAUUACUAAAAACUUAAACUAAAAUUAAAAUGAAAGCUGAAAACAGAAAAGACUAUUUAAAAUAUUAAUAAAAACUAUAAAUAAUCCUAAUAUAACACUCCAGCAUAGAUUAACUUGAAAUGCAAAACUGUGAUGACUU